rnacentral:rRNA from 1 species
GUCCACGCCGUAAACGAUGAGCACUAGAUUCUGUGGGUCUUGACCCCCGCGGAGUCGUAGCUAACGCACUAAGUGCUCCGCCUGGGGAGUACGGUCGCAAGACUAAAACUCAAAGGAAUUGACGGGGGCCCGCACAAGCGGUGGAUCAUGUGGUUUAAUUCGAAGCAACGCGAAGAACCUUACCUGGAUUUGACAUCUCCUGCUCGCAAUAGAGAUAUUGUUUUUUGGUUCGCCAAACAGGAU